rnacentral:pre_miRNA from 1 species
CAAAUACUCCCUUCGUUCCAAAAUUCUUGUCUUAGAUUUGUCUUGAUAAGGAUAUAUCUAGACAAAUCUAAGACAAGAAUUUUGAGAUGGAGGGAGUAGUAA